rnacentral:rRNA from 1 species
UACGUAGGGUGCGAGCGUUGUCCGGAAUUAUUGGGCGUAAAGAGCUCGUAGGCGGUCUGUCGCGUCGGUCGUGAAAACUUGGGGCUUAACCCUGAGCUUGCGGUCGAUACGGGCAUGACUGGAGUUCGGCAGGGGAGACUGGAAUUCCUGGUGUAGCGGUGAAAUGCGUAGAUAUCAGGAGGAAUACCGGUGGCGAAAGCGACUCUCUGGACGGUAACUGACGCUGAGGCACGAAAGCGUGGGGAGCGAUCCGG